rnacentral:rRNA from 1 species
GCAUAUCAAUAAGCGGAGGAAAAGAAACCAACAGGGAUUGCCCUAGUAACGGCGAGUGAAGCGGCAACAGCUCAAAUUUGAAAUCUGGCUUUCGGGCCCGAGUUGUAAUUUGUAGAGGAUGAUUUUGAUGCGGUGCCUUCCGAGUUCCCUGGAACGGGACGCCAUAGAGGGUGAGAGCCCCGUCUGGUUGGAUGCCAAAUCUCUGUAAAUCUCCUUCGACGAGUCGAGUAGUUUGGGAAUGCUGCUCUAAAUGGGAGGUAUAUGUCUUCUAAAGCUAAAUACCGGCCAGAGACCGAUAGCGCACAAGUAGAGUGAUCGAAAGAUGAAAAGCACUUUGAAAAGAGAGUUAAAAAGUACGUGAAAUUGUUGAAAGGGAAGCGUUUAUGACCAGACUUGGGCUUGGUUAAUCCAUCUGGGGUUCUCUCCAGUGCACUUUUCCAGUCCAGGCCAGCAUCAGUUUUCGCCGGGGGAUAAAGGCUUCGGGAAUGUGGCUCCCCUCGGGGAGUGUUAUAGCCCGUUGUGUAAUACCCUGGUGGGGACUGAGGUUCGCGCUUCUGCAAGGAUGCUGGCGUAAUGGUCAUCAACGACCCGUCUUGAAACACGGACCAAGGAGUCGUCUUCGUAUGCGAGUGUUCGGGUGUCAAACCCCUACGCGUAAUGAAAGUGAACGCAGGUGAGAGCUUCGGCGCAUCAUCGACCGAUCCUGAUGUUCUCGGAUGGAUUUGAGUAAGAGCAUACGGGGCCGGACCCGAAAGAAGGUGAACUAUGCCUGUGUAGGGUGAAGCCAGAGGAAACUCUGGUGGAGGCUCGCAGCGGUUCUGACGUGCAAAUCGAUCGUCAAACAUGGGCAUGGGGGCGAAAGACUAAUCGAACCUUCUAGUAGCUGGUUUCCGCCRA